rnacentral:rRNA from 1 species
CACAUACAUGCUCCGAUAUUCACUAGUGAUUUCUGUUUGAUCCUGGCGGAGGUCCAACGAGCGAGACCCAA